rnacentral:rRNA from 1 species
AUAUCAAUAAGCGGAGGAAAAGAAACCAACAGGGAUUGCCUCAGUAACGGCGAGUGAAGCGGCAGCAGCUCAAAUUUGAAAUCUGGCCCCCAGGGGUCCGAGUUGUAAUUUGGAGAGGAUGCUUCGGGUCAGGCGGCGGUCUAAUUCGCUUGGAACAGCGGGUCAGAGAGGGUGAGAGCCCCGUCGAGGGGCCGUCGGCCGCGCCCGUGUGAAGCUCCUUCGACGAGUCGAGUUGUUUGGGAAUGCAGCUCCAAGUGGGUGGUAAAUUUCAUCUAAAGCUAAAUAUGGGCCAGAGACCGAUAGCGCACAAGUAGAGUGAUCGAAAGAUGAAAAGCACUUUGAAAAGAGAGUUAAACAGUACGUGAAAUUGUUGAAAGGGAAGCGCUGGCCACCAGACGUGGGCGGGACGGUUCCCCCGACCGACGGUCGGGCUACUCCGUGCCGUCCAGGCCAGCAUCGGUUCGGGUGGUCGGUGAAAGGCCCCGGGAACGUACCGACUCUCCGGGGUCGACUUACAGCCCGGGGUGUCAUGCGACCCAUCCGGACCGAGGAACGCGCUUCGGCUCGGAUGCUGGCGUAAUGGUGGUCAGCGGCCCGUCUUGAAACACGGACCAAGGAGUCUAACUGCUGUGCGAGUGUUUGGGUGUCAAGCCCCGACGCGGAAUGAAGGUGAACGGAGGUCAGAACCCCGCAUGGGGCGCACGAUCGACCGAUCCGGAUGUCUUCGGAUGGAUUUGAGUAUGAGCAUGGCGGUUGGGACCCGAAAGAUGGUGAACUAUGCCUGGAUAGGGUGAAGCCAGAGGAAACUCUGGUGGAGGCUCGCAGCGGUUCUGACGUGCAAAUCGAUCGUCAAAUCUGGGUAUAGGGGCGAAAGACCAAUCGAACCAUCUGGUAGCUGGUUCCUGCCGAAGUUUCCCUCAGGAUAGCAGUAACGAAUUCAGUUUUAUGAGGUAAAGCGAAUGAUUAGAGGCCUUGGGGUUGAAACAACCUUAACCUAUUCUCAAACUUUAAAUAUGUAAGAAGUCCCUGUUGCUUCGUUGAACAGGGACCUUCGAAUGCACCGUUACUAGUGGGCCAUUUUUGGUAAGCAGAACUGGCGAUGCGGGAUGAACCGAACGCGGGGUUACGGUGCCGGAAUGCACGCUCAUCAGACACCACAAAAGGUGUCAAUGCAUCCAGACAGCCGGACGGUGGCCAUGGAAGUCGGAAUCCGCUUAGGAGUGUGUAACAACUCACCGGCCGAAUGCAUUGGCCCUGAAAAUGGAUGGCGCUUAAGCGUGCUACCUAUACCUCGCCGUUGGGGUUGAAAUGAGGCCCCAACGAGUAGGCAGGCGUGGAGGUCGGUGACGAAGCCUCGGGGGUGACCCCGGGUCGAACGACCUCUAGUG